GUUUGCUUCAACAACACAUACUAAAAUUGGAGAGACACAGCCAUAUAUUAGAAUGGCUCCUGUGUAAGGAUGACAUACAAAUUUGUGGUGCAUUCCUAUUUUUU
rnacentral:snRNA from 1 species